CUGACUGAAGAGGAUGGAGGAGUGUACACCUGUGCUGUUAAAGGUUCACAUAUAAACAUCAAACUCACUUUACGAGUUUUAGGCCCACCUAAAACUACAGCAUCUACUGCAGUCGUCCACAGCCAAACCAUAACCAGCACUUCAACUUCAAGCUACCCACAAGUGUCUGAUUACUGCACUCUGAUAAAAAAUGAAAAUGGAUCCUUUAUCAAAGCUCAUACAGGAGGGUCAGUCCUGCUGCCCUGCUACUGUACUGACCUACACACCAAACCUGAG